CAGUCGCCGCGGGAAUACGUAGGUGGCAAGCGUUGUCCGGAAUUAUUGGGCGUAAAGGGCUCGCAGGCGGUUUCUUAAGUCUGAUGUGAAAGCCCCCGGCUCAACCGGGGAGGGUCAAUGGAAACUGGGAAACUUGAGUGCAGAAGAGGAGAGUGGAAUUCCACGUGUAGCGGUGAAAUGCGUAGAGAUGUGGAGGAACACCAGUGGCGAAGGCGACUCUCUGGUCUGUAACUGACGCUGAGGAGCGAAAGCGUGGGGAGCGAACAGGAUUAGAUACCCCGGUAGUCCCUGUCUCUUAUAC
rnacentral:rRNA from 1 species